rnacentral:rRNA from 1 species
GACGAACGCUGGCGGCGUGCUUAACACAUGCAAGUCGAACGGAAAGGCCUGUCCUUCCUUGUGUUGGACGGGUACUCGAGUGGCGAACGGGUGAGUAACACGUGAGUGAUCUGCCCCCAACUUGGGUAUAAGCCUGGGAAACUGGGUCUAAUUCCCGAUAGGACUGCAGGGUGGUGCCUGUGGUGGAAAACGAUUUUCUAGUGGUUGGGGAUGAGCUCGCGGCCUAUCAGCUUGUUGGUGGGGUAAUGGCCUACCAAGGCGGCGACGGGUAGCCGGCCUGAGAGGGUGGACGGCCACAUUGGGACUGGGAUCCGGCCCAGACUCGUACGGGAGGCAGCAGUGGGGAAUAUUGCACAAUGGGCGGAAGCCUGAUGCAGCGACGCCGCGUGGGGGAUGACGGCCUUCGGGUUGUAAACUCCUUUCGACCGCGAGGAAGCCGCCUGGUUGGAAGGGUGGUGACGGUAGUGGUAGAAGAAGCACCGGCUAACUACGUG